rnacentral:lncRNA from 1 species
GCGGCCGCCAGCCUGGAGCGCGGGCCCUGGGGCCGCAACCCGCGCCGGGCGAGGUGGCAGCACACCCUGGGCCCCCCACUCCCCGCCGCAAGUCCUGAGGAUGGCCAGCAGAGAAACAAGAAAAUGGACUCCCUGGCUGCUGGAGAGUUGAAUGCCAGCCACCAGCCAUGGGUGCCAGAGUUUGUAGCCUAUUGGAGGAAAACACACCAAGCCUACGCCACUCUGUGCCCUUUAGCCAAGGAAGCCCAGCUGAGGCCCCGCAGCGUCCCUGCCCAGCAGAGCUACAGGAGGCCCGAGGCCCCUUCCUGUUCACUCUUGCUCUAUAGACGCCACGCUGCAAAGCAGAUGUGCAGGGACACCACCUGAAGACCCAGCCUGCAGCUCAGCCCUACACACUGUGGAUGGUGGAGAUCCCAGAGGGCCAAGAGAAGCUUAUUGAGACUUCUCUGCACUGCCCCUCCCACAGCAGGAGGUUCAUGGCCCAUGCAUUUCUGGGAGGGUUGACAGGGCCCAGGUUGUGGAAUACCUGUCUGUGAGCCCCAUGUCCUGUCUUGUCCCAGCUGCCUGUAGUUUGACAGAGUAUGCUAGAGGUCAGCCAUUGCUAGGGAGGCUGCCACUAAC